ACUCAAUAGAUACCCUGGUAGUCCACGCCCUAAACCGAUGUCUACUAGUUGUUGGUGGAGUAAAACUCCAUGAGUAAACGCAGCUAACGCGUGAAGUAGACCGCCUGGGGUAGUACGGUCGCAAGAUUAAAAACCUCAAAGGAAUUGACGGGGGUCCCGGCACAAGCGGUGGAUUAUGUGGAUUGAUUCGAUGCAACGCGAAAACCCGUUAACCCUGGCCGUUGACAUGCCACUAACCGAACGCAGAGAUGCAUUAGGUUGCCCGUAACGGGUAAACGUGGACACAGGUGCUGCAUGGCUGUCGUCAGCUCGUGUCGUGAGAUGUUGGGUUUAAACG
rnacentral:rRNA from 1 species